UACGGUCAUGACAUCCGUACAGCCAAGUCUGAUCAUGUCUUGGGAGACAAGUUAAGGAGAAGGGCGUGUGAAACUAUCCAAGGGAGAAAGAUCCAUUUGGCAUAUUCAAAGAUGCCUUAGGAAGCAACCAGGAAGGUGCCUUUCUCUCCAGCUCACACAGACCAAUCACAGCAAAGUAUUCAGUCCACAAGACAGCUCAUGACAGCCUGUAAAGGCCAGACACACCAAAGACUCCCAUUGGCCAAGCAUGUGAUGAUUCUGGUCCAUAGAAUUCAAAUGGGCGCUCCCCUUUAUGCUGACUUCACAUGCUUAGGUUAUCUGAUGAAUCCAGCCUCCAUUUAUGUAUUUAAGCUUCUUGUAAACAAUUGGAAACAUUAAGUGAGUAAGGGGGUUUCCCUUCUCCUUCUCUAAUCUCUAGUCUCUUAAGUCUCUUAAUCUCUGUUCUUAAGUCUCUCACAUACUCAUAAACACUCUCACCAAUCCUUUUCUCUAUAUCACCUAGAACAAGCUCUAAUCAUUCUUCAUUGAAGCUUAUACACAC
rnacentral:lncRNA from 1 species